AUAUAAAUUAAUUUACUCUUUAAAAUUUUAUUUCUAAUGGCAUACCUAUGUAAUUACUUACAAACAUUAAGGUUAUAUUUAAAAUGUACUUCCCAAAUAAUAUAGUAGGAUCAUAGAUAGAAAAGAACCUUCUUCGCAGACAAAUUUAUUGAAAAGUAAUA
rnacentral:sRNA from 1 species